rnacentral:rRNA from 1 species
AUCGCUUCUUGGUGUUGAAUAAGAGGUUAGAUCUGCUCACUGAUUUAUAAAGAGCUGCAGUAUUAUGACUGUACAAAGGUAGCAUAGUCAUUAGUCGUUUAAUUGGUGACUGGUAUGAACGAUUAAACAGGGUUAUUCUGUCUUUAAUUUGAAAUUAAAAUUUUCUUUUUAUGUAAAAAGGCAUAAAUUUUGUUAAGGGACGAGAAGACCCUAUUAAACUUUAUUAACCUAAAUUAUAUUAAUAAUAGGGGGUAGGUUAGGGUUAAUUUUGCUGGGGUGGCAGAUAUAAAGCAGUAUUUUAUAUAAUAAAAGGGAUAGCUAGGUGUGAGAUCCUGGAAGGAGGAUUGUAGGAUAAAGUUACUAUAGGGAUAACAGCGUAAUGUUUCUUAAGAGUUCUUAUUGACAGAAAUGAUUAUGA